rnacentral:lncRNA from 1 species
GCUUUAUUAUUUCUUAAAAAAAAAAACCAUAUGAAAUAACAAUGAUUUUGGUAAGCAACGAUCACAUAAUUUGUGUGCUAACUUUUCUCCCUUUAUGUCAUAUAUAAUGAUGGUGCAAAAUAGAUAAGUAACAUACACUUUCUUUUUUUCUGUAUUCUUAACAAAGUAUUAUAAAACCACGAAUAAAUUGACAACAAAAAAUUUAGAUGUUACAAAAUACAAUAUGUACAUCAACUUAUUAAAAAAAAGUUUUAAAU